GCCAACCUACUAACUGACGGGAC
rnacentral:miRNA from 1 species